AAUAUAAAGUGGGACCACAAACAUCCAGCAACAUUUACUAAAGUGAAGACUUAUCUCAUUCAUUCAUUAAUGUUGCCAAAAUAUUACAUUUUUGCAGAAGAUGUCACUCAAUAAUUCAUUCUAGAGAAAAGACAAUUUUUGAAAGAAAAAAGAAACAAUAUAAUAUUAUAAAAAUACAGACUUUUCUUUAGGAAAAUAAAGAAAAAAGCCCACAAACAAGUGACAGCAUUUUUUUGUGUCAGAUCUUCAGAUGUACAAUGAUAAACAAAAAUCUAAAUUGGUGGUUUGUUUUAUUAAAAUAUAUCAAGCUUAAUUUAUUACUAACCAAGUAAAAACAAAACAAUAGUAAAAAGCUAUCUAAAAAGAAAACACUGAAUUAUUUUUGUAUUUUUAUCCUGCCAGUACUUUGAACUUGGGAAAUUGGCCAAAAGUUUAGACAUUAGUCAAAAAAACUUUAAUAAAAAUUCUGAGAUGUAUUCCCUGUCCUUCACUCUAAGGUCGCUUCUUUUCAGGGAUUAUCCUUCACAUCUUUGUAAAAUACAGACACAUUUUCACUGCAGAACUCUGAGCUUCAGUCCUCAGCUGUAUUAUGACUUAUGAGAUCGGAUCGUGUCCUCAGUCUGAAGAGAAACUGUGACGUUAAACGCUCUCUCAUGGUGUGAGCACCUCCAUCACUCUGCUGCUGCUCACAGCCUUCAUAUUCAGUGAUGAGGUCAGCCAUGUUGUAGAGGGAACAUUAUAACUUAGAGGUUACCUCUACAGGAAAAACCCAAAGAUGAUGCAAAGGUACCAGAUUAGACUGAAAAGACUCGUUAUGAGCUGAUAGGUGGUAGAAAAAUGCGACCUUUGGAGUAAUUUUGCAGCUGCAUGUUACAAAUUUAACUCUCCAGCAACUGGAGCCGAUGCAGAUGGAAAGUUUUAUAAUAUCUGGGAUUAAAUUGUAAAUUAUCAAACCACAUAUUGUUUAAACAGAAAAUAUUUUGUACAACAAAAGGGAUUUUUUUUUUCUUUAUAGCUUUUAGUAAUCAUAGUAAUUGUGCCCACAAAUACAUAAUUGGAGAAGCACAUUCAUUAAAUUUGGCUUUGUACAGUAAAGCUUUUCGGAUAAAGCUGUCAGACUAAAACAUUCUCUACACCAACGAGAGAAAAUAUCUUUUUCAAACCUACAAUAGUUUAUUUCUUCUAUAGUUUGUUUUACUAAAAUAUUGCAUGUCUAAUUUAUUGCCAGAAGAGUUUAAAAAAAAAAAAUUCCCUUUCUCUAUUGAUGUAGAAAACAUGGUGUACUUUCAACUUCCUGGGUGCACAAGUGCUUGAAGAUGAAAUUGUGAUUUUGUAAGGAGCGCUACCUGUAAGUAAUAUGAAGGUAUCACUGUUUUAAAACUAAUUUUAACAAGCUUCUUGAGCGUGGAGCCUUCCUAAAUAGCCAGCCAAAAUCAAGUUAUUAAUCCCAAAAAUGUAACAAACGCAACAAAAAAGUGUAAUAUGCUUCACUUUUAUAAGACGUGAAUCUGGAAAGUUUUAUUCUAUAUUUAAUUUUUGCUCAAGUCUGUGUCAAAAUCUAAAUAACAAUGAAUAGAUGUAAUAUACAACAUUUUUAUAUACCUCAAAUACACAUAAAUAGGCAUCGGAGAAAGUUUGCCUGUUUACGGAGUUGUUUUGUAGAGCAAAGUAGGAAAGAAAAUUGCAGCUUCAGAAGCAAAAAUAUCAACAAAAAUGUGAGCUAACACGCUAUUGGUUGUUCUUUGCAAAGUAACCAAUGGAAGAACGCAAUUUAUUUUCCUUCCCGCUGAUUGGUCGUGCAACCAAGGGCGGAAGUAAACAAGACUGAAGACGUUAGCUUGUCUGGUAAGGCUAAAACGAUUUCCAUUUUGCGUUUAAACUAUUAAAAUAUGCAUUUACACCUGUUUUUAGAGGGGCACUAAAGUAUUUGGGCAUUUCAGUUGUUAGCUAGGUGCUACCCGAGAUCCACUUUACAUAAUAACUGAUCAGAAGUACAGAAAUUAUUUUUGGCUUUUAAAAAAAGCUGUUAAUGUUAUGUUAUUAUUUUAAAUAUAUGUUAAAAUCGUUUAAAUCAAGGCUGUCCCACCUCGCCUAGAGAAGACCCCGGUCAUGUCUGUAAAACUUCCCAGCAGAAAUUAGCAUUUUCGGCAGCCUGGUACACGGCAACAGUUUUAAUCUCCGUGGUUAAUUUGUCCCAAUCCACGAUACCUGGUCUGGUUGGAUUUGCAUGUUAAUCUCAGCAGAACCCAAUUUAGCAGUGAUUAAUUUUCAGGAUGCAGGCUUUAUUUAUUCAGCUUUGCCUGAGGUGUGCAGCCUCGGACUGUUUUUGUUUUACACCUCGCUUGAUUAAAAUAUUUUCAGAGUAAAAAUUAUGUUUCAUUAUUUGUGGCUCAGCUGUGACUGGCAGGUGGGUUAAUCUUCUUAGUGUGCUCUUUGCAUACUAACAAACACAUUGUGCAUGGAAUUGCACAUGCAUUUGCUCACUGGAUUAACUGGGAAUCUCAUCAUUUUUCAGGAAACUUCUAAUUAUUUUUACCUGUAUUUAGCCUUUUCGUCUCUUAUGUGGGUCAGGUUAAUUUAGGCAAUUAUAUCAUUAGGAUUGUAGAUAAAUACUGCUGGGAUGUACAUUUUCUAGGCCACGUUCUCACUUGUCCUCAUAAAACGUUUGAAACAAUUCAAAGCAGAUAUUAAAAACCUCGUAAUGUGAUCUGAUAAUUGUGUAGCCCUUAUUUCAACAUGUAUGUGACUUUUAAAAGAUUAAGAGGGCAGCGAUUAUUUUUUUUUUGUCAUUUUUCUAGCUCAGUAGGAAACCCUAAAUCAUCCUAAAUGCUAAUGAGGACAUUUUAUUGAUCGAGUGAAGGCUCUACGACCUCAUAAUCGAGGUGAGGUGUCCCUCUGCUGUGCUUGAUUACCCUUUGUUACCUUGAUCUAUGUGCCUUACAUUCAGGCGGAAAGGCAGUUUGCUGCCAUUUUUAAGCACAAAAACCGCUCACACACUGGGUUAUGAACACGCUGGAGGAUCUAUUUGCAGCUCUUGGGAAUAAUGAGCGAACCUUGUAGCUGGUGCCUGUCUUUCAUUAUUAUUUCAGCAUGACACAGCCCCAUGUCACAACCAGAUGGAAGGAGCAAGAUUGAAAAGUAAAAAUGGCAGCUGUCGUCAGCCGAGGGUGAAGCUGAGUCACUGGUUUCCUGUCCUGCUGAUGAGAAAACGUUUCAUAACUGAAAAAAAUCACAGAGGGAUCACAGAAGACGCAAACUGGAGGAUAAUUUCCCAGAUGAAAGACCCGAACAGGACAGAGAUGAAAUUUUCAUUCCCCUCAAACCACAAACAUCAACGCACUUCCUUGAGAUUUUAUUUGAUGAACUACAGUAAUUGGUGGUGCACAAUUUGUAAAUUUUUGACAUUUUAAUGUCUAAAUUUCAAAAGUCAAUAUUUC